rnacentral:tRNA from 1 species
UGSGCAAACCCGGAAUCGAACCAGGGGGUCAUCGAUGGCAACGAUGAAUUUUACCACUAAACCAUUUGCGC